rnacentral:rRNA from 1 species
GAUGAACGCUGGCGGCGUGCCUAAUACAUGCAAGUCGAGCGAACAGAUAAGGAGCUUGCUCCUUUGACGUUAGCGGCGGACGGGUGAGUAACACGUGGGUAACCUACCUAUAAGACUGGAAUAACUCCGGGAAACCGGGGCUGAUGCCGGAUAACAUUUAGAACCGCAUGGUUCUAAAGUGAAAGAUGGUUUUGCUAUCACUUAUAGAUGGACCCGCGCCGUAUUAGCUAGUUGGUAAGGUAACGGCUUACCAAGGCAACGAUACGUAGCCGACCUGAGAGGGUGAUCGGCCACACUGGAACUGAGACACGGUCCAGACUCCUACGGGAGGCAGCAGUAGGGAAUCUUCCGCAAUGGGCGAAAGCCUGACGGAGCAACGCCGCGUGAGUGAUGAAGGUCUUCGGAUCGUAAAACUCUGUUAUUAGGGAAGAACAAAUGUGUAAGUAACUGUGCACGUCUUGACGGUACCUAAUCAGAAAGCCACGGCUAACUACGUG